ensembl:snRNA Gm26478 predicted gene, 26478
AGCUUGGCACAGUGGCAGUAUCGUAGCCAAUGAAGUUUAUCAGAAGAGCGAUUAUUACUAAUGGGAAGUUUGACCCAAUAUCUUCUCUCCAAAACCCACCCAUUCUAUAGAAAUUCUUGCCAAUGAGAAUUCC